UACAGAGGGUGCGAGCGUUAAUCGGAAUUACUGGGCGUAAAGCGUGCGUAGACGGUAGCGUAAGUCAGAUGUGAAAGCCCCGGGCUCAACCUCGGAAUUGCCUUUGAUACUGUCUGUCUUGAGUUCGGGAGAGGUUGGCGGAAUUCCUAGUGUAGAGGUGAAAUUCGUAGAUAUAGGAAGAACACCAGUGGCGAAGGCGGCCAACUGGCCCGAUACUGACGCUCAUGUGCGAAAGCGUGGGGAGCAAACAGG
rnacentral:rRNA from 1 species